GGGGCUGUAGCUCAGUGGUAGAGCGCUUGCCUUGAAUGCAUGAGGCCCUGGGUUCGAUCCCCAGCACCACA
rnacentral:tRNA from 1 species